GACGAACGCUGGCGGCGUGCUUAACACAUGCAAGUCGAACGGAAAGGCCUGCUUUCCCUUGUGGAUUGCGGGUACUCGAGUGGCGAACGGGUGAGUAACACGUGAGUGAUCUGCCCCCAACUUGGGUAUAAGCCUGGGAAACUGGGUCUAAUUCCCGAUAGGACUGCAGGGUGGUGCCUGUGGUGGAAAACGAUUUUCUAGUGGUUGGGGAUGAGCUCGCGGCCUAUCAGCUUGUUGGUGGGGUAAUGGCCUACCAAGGCGGCGACGGGUAGCCGGCCUGAGAGGGUGGACGGCCACAUUGGGACUGAGAUACGGCCCAGACUCCUACGGGAGGCAGCAGUGGGGAAUAUUGCGCGAUGGGCGGAAGCCUGAGGCAGCGACGCCGCGUGGGGGAUGACGGCCUUCGGGUGGUAAACUCCUUUCGACCGCGAGGAAGCCACCUGGUUGGAAGGGUGGUGACGGUAGUGGUAGAAGAAGCACCGGCUAACUACGUG
rnacentral:rRNA from 1 species